rnacentral:rRNA from 1 species
UAGCGUAGGGGGCAAGCGUUGUCCGGAAUCAUUGGGCGUAAAGCGCGUGUAGGCGGCUCAGUAAGUCCGCUCUGAAAGCCCGGGGGCUCAACCCCGGGAGGCGGGUGGAUACUGCUGAGCUCGAGUCCGGAAGAGGAGUGUGGAAUUCCUGGUGUAGCGGUGAAAUGCGCAGAUAUCAGGAAGAACACCCGUGGCUAAGGCGGCUCUCUAGUACGGUACUGACGCUGAGACGCGAAAGCGUGGGGAGCGAACAGG